rnacentral:ncRNA from 1 species
GGCAGUGAGACUGCGGGGGAUAAGCUUCGUAGUCGAGAGGGAAACAGCCCAGAUCAUCAGCUAAGGCCCCUAAGUGUGCGCUAAGUGGGAAAGGAUGUGGAGUCGCGGUGACAACCAGGAGGUUGGCUUAGAAGCAGCCAUCCUUGAAAGAGUGCGUAAUAGCUCACUGGUCAAGUGAUUUCGCGCCGACAAUGUAGCGGGGCUUAAGCGUACCGCCGAAGCUGUGGCAGCAACACGUAUGCUGGCGUCAUUGAAUGAUUGUUGGUGUGUUGUUGGGUAGGGGAGCGUCCUGCAUGAGGUGAAGCCUGGGGGGAACCUCUGGUGGAUUGUGUGGGAGUGAGAAUGCAGGCAUGAGUAGCGAAUCUGCGGUGAGAAUCCGCAGCGCCGAUUGACUAAGGGUUCCAGGGCUAGGUUUAUCCGCCCUGGGUUAGUCGGGUCCUAAGGCGAGGCCGACAGGCGUAGUCGAUGGAUAACCAGUUGAUAUUCUGGUACCGCCUAGCAACCGUCCAAUACUGAGAUCAUCAUGCUAACCAAUUUUGCCGACCAAUGGUCAUGCCCCUCGGGGUGUGAUUGGCGGUUGGUCUUGGGACCCGGUGGUGGAGGUAAGCGUAUUAACAGGGGUGACGCAGAAAGGUAGCUGCAGUGCGCCGGUGGUUUGGCGUAUUUAAGGUUGUGGCCCGUUUCCUAGGUAAAUCCGGGAGACACGUGGGUGAGAACUGAUGAGGGACGCACGUGUGUGUGGACUUGUGGUGAUCCUAUGCUGCCGAGAAAAGCCUCGACGCGAGGGGGCAAGGCGCCCGUACCCUAAACCGACUCAGGUGGUCAGGUAGAGUAUACCGAGGCGUUCGAGUGAAUCAUGGUCAAGGAACUCGGCAAAAUUCCUCCGUAACUUCGGGAGAAGGAGGACCCCUUAGCUUCCCAGCGCCGCGCGUGCUGGUGGGGCCGGGGGGUCGCAGAGAAUAGGGAGAAGCGACUGUUUAUCAAAAACACAGGUGCGUGCGAAGCCGUAAGGCGAUGUAUACGCACUGACGCCUGCCCGGUGCUGGAAGGUUAAGAGGAACCGUCAACGCCCCUUGGGUGUGAAGCGGUGAAUUUAAGCCCCAGUAAACGGCGGUGGUAACUAUAACCAUCCUAAGGUAGCGAAAUUCCUUGUCGGGUAAGUUCCGACCUGCACGAAUGGCGUAACGACUUCU